ACACUCCUGCGGGAGGCAGCAGUGGGGAAUAUUGGACAAUGGGCGCAAGCCUGAUCCAGCCAUGCCGCGUGAGUGAUGAAGGCCCUAGGGUUGUAAAGCUCUUUCACCGGUGAAGAUAAUGACGGUAACCGGAGAAGAAGCCCCGGCUAACUUCGUGCCAGCAGCCGCGGUAAUACGAAGGGGGCUAGCGUUGUUCGGAUUUACUGGGCGUAAAGCGCACGUAGGCGGACUAUUAAGUCAGGGGUGAAAUCCCGGGGCUCAACCCCGGAACUGCCUUUGAUACUGGUAGUCUUGAGUUCGAGAGAGGUGAGUGGAAUUCCGAGUGUAGAGGUGAAAUUCGUAGAUAUUCGGAGGAACACCAGUGGCGAAGGCGGCUCACUGGCUCGAUACUGACGCUGAGGUGCGAAAGCGUGGGGAGCAAACAGGAUUAGAUACCCCAGUAGUCC
rnacentral:rRNA from 1 species